rnacentral:lncRNA from 1 species
AAUGUGGGGCUGUGGGGUCAUUGUAGGGUUAUGGUGGCCCUGUGGGUUCGUUGUGGGGUUAUGGGGUGGUUAUGGGGUCAUUGUGAGGUUAUGGAGUUAUGGGGUCGUUGUGGGGUUAUGGGGUGGUUAUGGGGUGGUUAUGGGGUCAUUGUGAGGUUAUGGAGUUAUGGGGUCGUUGUGGGGUUAUGGGAUGGUUAUGGGGUCCUUGUGGGGUCCUUGUGGGGUUAUGGGGUGCUUAUGGGGUCUUUAUGGGGUCCUUAUGCUUAAGGGGUUAUGGGGUCACUGUGGGGUUAUGGGGUCCGCAUGUGGUCCUUGUGGAGUCCUUAUGGGAUCGCUGUGGGGUUAUGAGAUGGUUAUGGGGUCCUUGUGGGGUUGUGGGGUCAUUGUGGGGUUAUGGGAUGGUUAUGGGGUCACUGUGAGGUUAUGGGGUCCUUAUGGGGUUGUUAUGGGGUCCUUGUGGGGCUACGGGGGUCGUUGUGGGGUUAUGGGGUCACUGUGAGGUUACAGAAUUUUGGGGUCCUUAUGGGGUCCUUGUGGGGUUGUGGGGUCCUUAUGGGGUCGUUGUGGGGUUAUGGGAUGGUUGUGGGGUCCUUGUGGGAUUCUUGUGGGGUUCUUGUGGGGUUCUUGUGGGGUCAUUGUGGGGUUAUGGGGUCCUUGUGGGGUUAUGGGGUUGGGGGGUCAUUGUGGAGUCCUUAUGGGGUCAUUGUGGGGUUAUGGGAUCUUUGUGGGGUUAUGGGGUUGUUAUGGGGUCCUUGUGGGGUCCUUGUGGGUUUAUGGGGUCCUUGUGGGGUUAUGGGGGUCACUGUGGGGUCGUUGUGGGCUUAUGGGAUUGUGAUGGGGUUAUGGGUCAGGUUAUGGGGUUGCUUUGGGGUUAUGGGGUCGCUGUGGGAUUACGGGGGUCACUGUGGGGCCAUUGUGCAGUUAUGGGAUUGUUAUGGGGUUAUGGGUCAGGUUAUGGGGUCGCUGUGGGGUUAUGGGGUCGCUGUGGGGUUAUGGGGUCGCUGUGGGGUUAUGGGGGUCGUUGUGGGGUCGUUGUGGGGUUAUGGGAUUGUGAUGGGGUUAUGGGUCAGGGUUAUGGGGUCGCUGUGGGGUUAUGGGAUUGUGAUGGGGUUAUGGGUCAGGUUUUGGGGUCGCUUUGGGGUUAUGGGGUCGCUGUGGGAUUACGGGGGUCACUGUGGGGCCAUUGUGCAGUUAUGGGAUUGUUAUGGGGUUAUGGGUCAGGUUAUGGGGUCGCUGUGGGGUUAUGGGGUCGCUGUGGGGUUAUGGGGUCGCUGUGGGGUUAUGGGGGUCGUUGUGGGGUCGUUGUGGGGUUAUGGGAUUGUGAUGGGGUUAUGGGUCAGGGUUAUGGGGUCGCUGUGGGGUUAUGGGAUUGUGAUGGGGUUAUGGGUCAGGUUUUGGGGUCGCUGUGGGUUUUGGGGUCGCUGUGGGGUUUUGGGGUCGCUGUGGGGUUAUGGGAUUGUGAUGGGGUUAUGCGUNNNNNNNNNNNNNNNNNNNNNNNNNNNNNNNNN